rnacentral:lncRNA from 1 species
GGAUUUCUGCAUUUUCGGUAAAAUCAGAUGUAAAAAAUAAAAAAAAUCGGCAAAAAUCAUGCCGAUUUUUGUGUCAAGUGGACCACCUUAUGUACCAAAAAACUGUUUUUAUUAGAAAAAUUAGUCAGUUAGCAGUUUAAAUGAUUGAAAUCAUCACUUAUACCCAUGAAAAUAACAAAAAAUGAUAUGGUUUAUUUCAUUUCUACCAUAAAAUACAAUGUUAG